AGAGUUUGAUCCUGGCUCAGGAUGAACGCUGGCGGCGUGCCUAAUACAUGCAAGUCGAACGGUCCGGCUUCGGUCGGAUAGUGGCGAACGGGUGAGUAACGCGUUGGUGACCUGCCCCAAAGCGGGGGAUAACAGUUCGAAAGGACUGCUAAUACCCCAUGUGCUGGAGUGCGCUAGAGAAACUUCAGGAAAGGCGAAAGCCACUUUGGGAGGGGCCUGCGUCCCAUCAGCUAGUUGGUGUGGUAACGGCGCACCAAGGCGAUGACGGGUAGGGGACCUGAGAGGGUGGCCCCCCACAAUGGAACUGAAACACGGUCCAUACACCUACGGGUGGCAGCAGUAGGGAAUAUUGCAGAAUGGGCGCAAGCCUGAUGCAGCAACGCCGCGUGGGCGAUGAAGGCCUUCGGGUCGUAAAGCCCUUUUUGGAGGGAAGAGGAAGGACGGUACCUCCAGAAUAAGCCUCGGCUAACUACGUGCCAGCAGCCGCGGUAAAACGUAGGAGGCAAGCGUUAUCCGGAUUUACUGGGCGUAAAGCGCGUGUAGGCGGCUGGGUAAGUUGGCUGUGAAAGCUCCCGGCUUAACUGGGAGAGGUCGGUCAAAACUGCCGCAGCUGGAGAUUGGUAGAGGGAGAUGGAAUUCCGGGUGUAGUGGUGAAAUGCGUAGAUAUCCGGAGGAACACCAGUGGCGAAAGCGAUCUCCUGGACCACAUCUGACGCUCAGACGCGAAAGCUAGGGGAGCGAACGGGAUUAGAGACCCCGGUAGUCCUAGCUGUAAACGAUGUAGACUUGGCGUUGGCGGGUUCAAAUCCGUCAGUGCCGGAGCAAACGCGUUAAGUCUACCGCCUGGGGACUACGGCCGCAAGGUUAAAACUCAAAGGAAUUGACGGGGGCCCGCACAAGCAGCGGAGCGUGUGGUUUAAUUCGAUGCUACACGAAGAACCUUACCAGGGUUUGACAUGCACGUGGUAGGGAGCCGAAAGGUGACCGACCCUUCGGGGAGCGUGCACAGGUGCUGCAUGGCUGUCGUCAGCUCGUGUCGUGAGAUGUUCGGUUAAGUCCGCUAACGAGCGCAACCCUCGCUGUGUGUUAUACGUGUCACACGGGACUGCCGGUCCUAAACCGGAGGAAGGUGGGGAUGACGUCAAGUCAGCAUGGCCUUUAUGCCCUGGGCUACACACACGCUACAAUGGCCAGUACAAUUGGUUGCGAAGCCGCGAGGUGGAGCCAAUCCCGAAAGCUGGCCUCAGUUCAGAUUGCAGGCUGCAACUCGCCUGCAUGAAGCUGGAGUUGCUAGUAACAGAAGCUCAGACAUACUGCGAUGAAUA
rnacentral:rRNA from 1 species